CCCUGGUUAGCUCAGUUGGCAGAUCGCUCCACUGGAGAUGCGGAGGUCACUGGUUUGAAACCAGGACCAGGCG
rnacentral:tRNA from 1 species